rnacentral:rRNA from 1 species
AAUUUGAAAUGACUGAGCGGCGGACGGGUGAGUAACGCGUGGGUAACCUGCCUCAUACAGGGGGAUAACAGUUAGAAAUGACUGCUAAUACCGCAUAAGCACACAGUACCGCAUGGUACAGUGUGAAAAACUCCGGUGGUAUGAGAUGGACCCGCGUCUGAUUAGCUGGUUGGCGGGGUAACGGCCCACCAAGGCGACAAUCAGUAGCCGACCUGAGAGGGUGACCGGCCACAUUGGGACUGAGACACGGCCCAAACUCCUACGGGAGGCAGCAGUGGGGAAUAUUGCACAAUGGGGGAAACCCUGAUGCAGCAACGCCGCGUGAGUGAAGAAGUAUUUCGGUAUGUAAAGCUCUAUCAGCAGGGAAGAAAGUGACGGUACCUGACUAAGAAGCCCCGGCUAACUACGUGCCAGCAGCCGCGGUAAUACGUAGGGGGCAAGCGUUAUCCGGAUUUACUGGGUGUAAAGGGAGCGUAGACGGCACAGCAAGUCUGAAGUGAAAUCCCCGGGCUCAACCCGGGAACUGCUUUGGAAACUGUUGGGCUGGAGUGCUGGAGAGGCAAGCGGAAUUCCUAGUGUAGCGGUGAAAUGCGUAGAUAUUAGGAGGAACACCAGUGGCGAAGGCGGCUUGCUGGACAGUAACUGACGUUGAGGCUCGAAAGCGUGGGGAGCAAACAGGAUUAGAUACCCUGGUAGUCCACGCCGUAAACGAUGCAUACUAGGUGUCGGGGAGCAAAGCUUUCCGGUGCCGCCGCAAACGCAGUAAGUAUGC